CCAACUGGAGUUGUUACUGGCAUACCACUGGAGUUGCCCUGCCAAGCUGAUGUAGAGGCAGGGGGUGUUGACGGCGUUCCUAGCUCUAGCGCGUCCUCCUGACAACCGUGGAUGAGGCUUGUGUACUCCACGGUGAAGAUGUCAUCACCAUGUGCCACCGCAGCAUCUUCCUCCACGCCAUCAGACUAGUUCCACUGGACCUCCUC
rnacentral:lncRNA from 1 species